GGGGUUCCAAGAGGCUGCGGUUGGCCAUGGCCUCAGACACCACCGUAAGCCUUCCUGACUUGCUCUCUUCCUGGGAGGAGGACCGCAAGUUGGUCCUACGUGGCUGGUCCCUCACCUUCAUCUUCCUGGCAACUUUGUUGGUGUUCAGCGUGGUGGAUGGGCGGAUGGCCUAUGUGCAUGGUCCGUACACUGGUUUCAUCGGCCUCUGGAUUGACUGCAGGAGGCAUAAGUGUGUCAACGUGGGACAAUUCACUGUUUACAUUCACAUGAGCAAGGGCUUCAUAUUUCUGGCCCUGGCACUAUGCCUCAUCCUCCUGCCCACCAUGUUCCUCUCCUUUCGACCAGUCUGCCGCCGCCUGAAAACGAUAGACUUCAUCUUCAGUUUCCUCAGCAUUGUCAUCGUGCAGGACUCCUGAUUCUCCUCAGCCUGACUUUCUUUGUGGUCAACUGCAAUAGGCUGCGCCCGAGGCCACAGGAACUUUGUCCUUCCUCAACCAAGUGCGAACGUGGAGCUACAGUAUACCUUCCAUGGAGCGUAGGCUCAGCUACUUCCGUUGGGCCUCGAGACACCACUCAUUGCAUUUGCAGCAGCAGACCAUUAUGGACAGGAACUUGGAGUCUGUCCAGAAGUUGUCUGCUGUAACCAGCUUUGUGAACUCCCAUGGGGCUCUACAACAGAGUGAUUCCUCAACUACUCAGGGCACUGAUGAGUCCCCGUGGCCAGAUUCCUCCACCUCGGUUCCUGUGGCUCAGUUUCGAUCAGACCUCCCUUGAGGUGCCAUACUUCCCAUAAGAGCAGGUUGCACGCUCGGGACACAGGUGGCAAGCCCCGCUCCCGCGGUAGGUCCUACUCCUUGCUGCCUGAGUCUUGGUAGGGAUCCUUCUCUGGAACUUCUACAAUACUCUCAGCUGUGGCUAUGUCCCCAGCAGACACUGGUUUGUGGUCCCGAAAGCAGCAGCAGUGUAGCCCUUUUCCCAAGAUGGGCGUUGCCUCCCAUCCCUCAAUAGUCACUCUUCAUCCUUUGGUCCAGCCAUACCAGAGACAUCCCCUCCUGGGGCUCCAGGUGCACAGUCUGCAGCCUGGGCUGAGUCCCUGCCCUUCUGUGGACAGACUCUUCCCCAGGGAGUCAAGGUUUAAUUAACAUAACACCGCUGUCCAACUCAAUAAAACUUGGUCUGUAGUGUAAA